GGUGGAAUUAUGAUAUUUAUAAGUUCUUACUUCGAAUUUGUUCGGAUUCGUAAUUUCUUGAAGUCCCAGAGUGCAUCCUUCUGUAUGCUUAGCGAGUACACAAAGCAGAGUGAUAUAUCUCGUGCAAGGGUUUGGUUUUUUGGAGGAAAGCGGAAGAUCAUGAUCUACACGGAGAGAGCUCACUUCUAUCACAGAUAUAAGAUUCGUGGCAUAUAGAAUUUAAUAAUCUACUCUCUUCCGGAAACAAAAGAAUUCUACCCGGAGAUUGUUAAUAUGCUUGAAGGCUCGCAUAACAUGACCUGCACGGUGCUCUUUUCUUGCUUUGAUCAGUUCCGGCUUGAGAGGAUCGUUGGAACUGCACCUGCAAAGAGGAUGGUUUUGUCAGAGAAGAAUACAUUUGUUUUCUGUUAAAGAGUAACUAUUUUGUGAUGGUUAUAUUGGGAGGAUCAUUGGAACUGCACCUGCAAAAAGGAUGGUGUCUCAGGAGAAAGGAUUUAUUUGUUUUUGUUAGGGCUCGACAGCAUACUGUAGGUGGAAAAUUACUUGAAUGAGUUGCAGUGGCAAUUGUAUAAAAAGCUGAUCAGUUGACGGUGAGAAUUUUGAAUGCAGCACUGCUCUCUCGGAAAAGGCAUUGCCGUCAUCAUUUAUUUUUCCAGGUAUUUUUCUUCAUCAGCAAACCACAUUCCAAAAUUGGGGGACAGCAAGCAUCAAAGUUGUUACUACCAAAGACUAUUAAUGCUGGGUUAAAUUACAUGUUUCUGUAGUAGAAAUAUAAUAAACUGUG